CAGGACGAACGCUGGCGGCGCGCCUAACACAUGCAAGUCGAACGAGAGAGAGGAAGCUUGCUUCCUCAAUCGAGUGGCGCACGGGUGAGUAACACGUAUCCAACCUGCCCUUUACUCGGGGAUAGCCUUUCGAAAGAAAGAUUAAUACCCGAUAGUAUAAUGAUUCCGCAUGGUUUCAUUAUUAAAGGAUUCCGGUAAAGGAUGGGGAUGCGUUCCAUUAGGUUGUUGGUGAGGUAACGGCUCACCAAGCCUUCGAUGGAUAGGGGUUCUGAGAGGAAGGUCCCCCACAUUGGAACUGAGACACGGUCCAAACUCCUACGGGAGGCAGCAGUGAGGAAUAUUGGUCAAUGGACGAGAGUCUGAACCAGCCAAGUAGCGUGCAGGAUGACGGCCCUAUGGGUUGUAAACUGCUUUUAUAAGGGAAUAAAGUGAGUCUCGUGAGACUUUUUGCAUGUACCUUAUGAAUAAGGACCGGCUAAUUCCGUG
rnacentral:rRNA from 1 species